GAUGAACGCUGACAGAAUGCUUAACACAUGCAAGUCUACUUGAAUUUGGGUUUUUUAACUUAGAUUUGGGUGGCGGACGGGUGAGUAACGCGUAAAGAACUUGCCUCACAGCUAGGGACAACAUUUGGAAACGAAUGCUAAUACCUGAUAUUAUGAUUAUAAGGCAUCUUAGAAUUAUGAAAGCUAUAUGCGCUGUGAGAGAGCUUUGCGUCCCAUUAGCUUGUUGGAGAGGUAACGGCUCACCAAGGCGAUGAUGGGUAGCCGGCCUGAGAGGGUGAACGGCCACAAGGGGACUGAGACACGGCCCUUACUCCUACGGGAGGCAGCAGUGGGGAAUAUUGGACAAUGGACCAAGAGUCUGAUCCAGCAAUUCUGUGUGCACGAUGACGUUUUUCGGAAUGUAAAGUGCUUUCAGUUGGGAAGAAAAAAAUGACGGUACCAACAGAAGAAGUGACGGCUAAAUACGUG
rnacentral:rRNA from 1 species